GCUCCCGUCGUUCAACGGACAGGACAUUAGGUUGCGGACCUAAAAAUAGAGGUUCGAUUCCUCUCGGGAGCA
rnacentral:tRNA from 1 species